rnacentral:misc_RNA from 1 species
UUCGAUUCGAUCAACCGUCACGUUUCUACGACACUUUUAAAUGCGAAGAUAAAAAUCUUCAAUUUAUCGCGUUCGCGUGUGUAUUAUUCAACGUCGAGAAAUGGAUCUUAUCACCAACAUAAUCUUCCACGAUGAUAGUUUUUUAAUAGUUUCAUGAUAUUCGAUUUGGAACACUUUAUCCUCCAUGUUAAACAAAGUAUUUACCUGUUGGGCACUACUUUUUGACUAUACCGAGUUAAAAGGGAACGAGCUUAGGCUCGAACAAAUGGCACCUUUCCAACUUAUAUCGUUCGUUAUUUCGUCUAAUAAUUGCCGAGGAUAAAUAAUCAAAAUAGAAGAAUUCACGUAUCUUUGAUAUCUCGUGAUAAAGGGAAAAAAUAAACGUUUUUACGCUAGGAAAGGAAGGUGGUAUUGGUGAUAGUGGAAAAAUGUCGAGAAUAUUAUUAAAAGGAUUGUACCUGCGAACCACGGAGCCGGGCCUGAAGCUCGGCACCACUUGAACGUCAAUCGUCAGAAGGACAAAUGAGCAGGACGCGGGAUGGGCAAGUCCUGGCUCUUCGUUCUAUUUCCUGCGACGAUGACGACGAUGACGACGAUGACGAUGAUGGCAUACGUCACGAUGGCGGGUGCUGGUACAACAACGACGCCAUCGUUCUUUACGGCCACGACCAUGGUCGUAAAGAAUUUCAUGGAAAGCAAAAAAGCGGAUAUAGAAAAAGCUUUGGACGUGAUCGAGGCAGCAUCCAGCGGAUCAUUGGGAGAAGAAUGUGUGGAUACAGCAGGUUUCAAAUCUUUGCCAGCUGGCGCAUCCCUUGAUCCACGUCGUUACGACACGGCACGUCAGAAAACGGAUAUGACUGCCAUGAUGCUACAAAACCUCGGCACUUCCGGUAUAUCACGGUACAACGGAUUAUUGGACGUCUUAGCAAAAUCUUUGCUUCUUUCGGUGAACGAUGCUGUUGAAGCAAGGGUGAUUGCAUUGAAUGCAUCGACCAAAACUGUGAUCAACGCUGUCUGGCUCAAAAGGAGUCCAGGAAGCGUCGGUGAACCGAUCAAGGUCGAAGAUCAUGCUCUACAACCAGGAUCCAGGCCGAAUUCUAAUCUACCUUGGUUUGAAGAUACUGGUGCCAGCUCGGGAUUAAGGUCACCGAAGUUCAUGCAGUCACCGGCGAUUGAAUCCUACAGGGGUUGGUGGACCAUCCCGUAUUUCUCCUGCAAGACUCGCCAAUGGCUCAUCUCCUACAGCGUCAACGUGCGUCCACCGGAUUCUCGACUCGGUGUGCGAGAAUUUUUGAGCAUGGAUAUUGAUAUCAGCGGCUUGGAGGUGAAUCAAUGCAAUGCAUCCCCCUAUGGCGAUAGUACAUCGUCGAGUAAUCAAAUAGCAUCCUUUAGAGGCACCCACAAGUGUCACGACGAUACCACCCAGUGCGAGUAUUAUAGUCCUAAUGGUAAGAUCAACGAACACGGUGUUGGUGCUGGAUGGGCUAAGGGUGCUUACAUUUGCAAAUGUCGACAAGGUUUCUACGGUAGGAAUCAUCAACAGACCGGCUUCGAUGGGAUUCUCGUUGAAGCGGCAUGGAAAGAAAUGCAAGAAAAUAUAAGCAACUCUUAUGUCAAAGAAUUUCAAUGUUUACGCUGUGCUCCAGGAUGUGCCAAGUGUAAAGGACCCGAGCCCUGUUUGGCUACGUACCAUUGGCCCUUUAGGAUUACGUUAUUGGCUUUUUCUAUUUUUUGCGUCUUCGGUACCGUCGUCCUAGUGGCCUACAUGUACCAACACCGUAAACUCAAAGUAUUCAAAGUAGCCUCACCUAUAUUUUUAUCCAUCACGCUUUUGGGUUGCGCCAUUAUGUAUUUGGAGAUGGCAGCAAUAUUCCCAGUAUUGGAUAUGUACUCGUGCAUAGCCACAAAGUGGACAAGGCAUCUCGGCUUUUGUAUUUCUUACACCGCGUUGUUGAUGAAGACUUGGAGAGUAUCACUGACCUAUCGGGUUAAAAGUGCACACAAGGUGAAACUAACGGAUAAACAAUUGUUACAAUGGAUGGUACCGAUAUUAUUGGUUAUGUUAAUAUACCUUGGUACGUGGACACUCAGUGCACCACCUUACGCAGAAGUGAUCGCCGAUAAAUACGGUCUGAAAUUUUAUCAAUGCUCAUUCAAUUGGUGGGAUCAUAGUCUGGCCAUUGGAACUCUAUCGGCCGUUUCGUUUCAAGGAGAGAUUCUAUUUCUCGCAUGGGGCAUAAAAGUCUGUUACAACGUUCGAAACGCCGAGAGUCUCUUCAACGAGGCUAGGCUGAUAAGCUACGCCAUUUAUAACAUAGCUGCAGUUAACAUCGUCAUGAUCUCCAUACACCUCUUCAUCUUCCCACACGCUGGACCGGACAUCAAAUAUUUGUUGGGUUUCCUUCGUACUCAGUUAUCAACGUCCGUCACUAUUUUUCUCGUAUUCGGACCCAAGGUACUUAGGGUUCUUCGAGGACACGGAGAUCAAUGGGACAGUCGUGCACGUGCUAGAGGCGUAACUGCUAGUUUCUCAUUAAAUGGAAUUGGAUUAGUUCCCGAAGAAACGACUGAUCUUUAUCAAGAAAACGAAGAAUUGAAGGAGGAAAUACAAAAGUUGGCGGCACAAAUAGAAUUCAUGAAAAUCGUACACAUGGAAAUGCACAACAGGCACAUUAAACCUAAACCAGGUGGAUAUUUCAGCGCGCAUGGUCACACUCAUGGUCAUCCUUCGACAGCACAAAGCCCGAUUGCCAAGAGCUCGACUGCCAGUUUUAUUUUAAGACAGAGUGCAGUUGAACGAGGAGCGUCAGCGGCCGCGGCCGCGGCUGUUGAAGAUUCGACCUUCCCGUCCGGUAGUUUGCAUCGUGCACGAAGGAUGGAAAUUCUUCGUGAAAGAAAGGCCGAAAAGGAAAGGGAAAGGGAAAAAGAAAGGGAGAAGAAAAGCGAAAAAGAAAGGGAAAGGGAAAUGGUUGGUACUCAACAACAAGAAGUGGAACAAAGGGAACUACCGCAUUCCAGUUGUGAAAAAGUCUGACUAGUCGUCAACAGCGAGGAGAUAUGGUUGUGACGAAGACAAUACAUCGAUAGGAUUGAAAAAUCUAAGAAGAAAAUAUGUUUUCGUACGUUUCCACGAGGAAGAAAGCUAAGAUGCUGAUAAAACAACCAAUGAAAGAAAUCUUUUCUAAUUGAUUGAAAUCGUUGAAAGUUUUAGAGAUAUAACACCAUAUCAUGCGUGCGAUCUAUUCUUAUCGAAUGGGAACGUUUUAAUAAUCACCUUCUAUGUUCGAAGGUAAACUAGCAAUUAUAGUCGAAUAAAGAGAAAAGAAAAACAA